CAUUUUGUUUGAGUAUUUCCAACAUGGUAAAGAUGGUUUGUUGUUCCCAGUAUUUGUUUUGUCUGUCUGGGUAAGUUUCCUCCGUUCUGGCUCGGUCGGUCCUUGUGAUUUUGGUACUGGUUUUCUGUCCAAACCAUAUAAUCGCACAUUUUCUAAUCUUCCAUACGGUACACUAAUCCCUUAACAGAUUUCAUGAUACUUACUUUAUUCUAAUAAAUAACUUUAUCCCUUAUCAUGUGUGGAUCCCGAUCUUUGCUCUGACCCGAGCCUCACAGUAAAGAUUCAAUAUGAAUGGCAAAAUAAGGAUGGGAUUUUAUUUGAACGAUAAAAUAUGUGUUGGGCAAAUUAUAGAGAGGCUGAGAUUAUAGAUUUCAUAUUCAAAAGGCGAAGGGGUGAAAAAAUGUAAGAAAUAUAUUUAAGAAAUAUAGGCCUACUCAAAGCCCAAAUCAUUGAUAUCAUACCCUAUCCAAUAAUAAAGAAAUUUGAAUUUGA